CUCCCAGGUCCCCUUGAAGGCUUCAGUGGUUCUUCUUUUUCAAUGGGCACCAAGGAAAUCCAUCCCUCCCUUUUUACCAAGAAGUGAAUGAAGCGGCUACUACAUAUCCCUUUGGUGAGCGUAGCCCCAAAAGAAGAAUGCUGGUGGCCCAGGCGUUGCGAUGUUGCCCUACAACAGCACAGGUCAUACCGUUUGUAAACCCUCGUGAACAAGUUCCCCGCCAUACUAACGGCUGGACGAGCUUUGGAAAAUACCGGAGACUCCUUCCCUGAUCAGCAGAAGAAGACGAAACACCGGCCCAUGGGAUAUGGGGGAAGCUGAAAGACAGAAAGAAAGUCUGUACUGCUGUAAAGACUCAAACGUCGGUCUUGUCUUAGAUUCAGGAGCCGUAUGUCUAUCCCACGCAUGUUUAAAGUCCCACACUGUACUGGCCUCUACCACUUCUGCUGAGCAGCUGUUCCACUUAUCUACCACCCUGUCAAUAAAGUAAAACUUCCUUAUA